UAAGGAAUAUUGGGCAAUGGAGGCAACUCUGACCCAGCCAUGCCACGUGGAGGAUGAAGGCCCUCUGGGUUGUAAACUUCUUUUACUUGGGACGAAACCUUCUUAUUCUUAGGAAGUUGACGGUACCAAGGGAAUAAGCACCGGCUAACUACGUG
rnacentral:rRNA from 1 species